UAUUAGCUCACCUGUCACAAAGUGACAGGGUGAGCUUUUGUGAUCGCUUUUCGUCCGGCGUCCGUCCGUCCGUCGUCCGUCCGUCCGUAAACUUUUACUUGAAAUGACAUCUCCUCAUAAACCACUAAGCCAAUUUCAUCCAAACUUCACAGGAAUGUUCCUUUGGUGGUCACCUUUAAAAAUUGUUCAAAGAAUUUAAUUCCAUGCAGAACUCUGGUUGCCAUGGCAACCGAAAGAAAAAACUUUAAAUAUCUUCUUUUAAAAAACCAUAAGAGCUAGAGCUUAGAUUUUUGGCAUGAAACAUCUUCUAGUGAGUGUCUACCAAGUUUGUUCAAAUAAAAGCCCUGGGGUCAAAAUUGGCCCCGCCCCGGGGGAUCAUUGAUUUUCCCUAUAUGCAUAUAGUAAAAACUUAAAAAAUCUUCUUUUAAAGAACCCAAAGAGCUAGAGCUAAGAUAUUUAGCAUGAAACAUGUUCUAAUGGGUUUCUACCAAGUUUGUUCAGAUAAAAGCCCUGGGGUCAAAAUUGGCCCCGCCCCGGGGGGUCAUUGAUUUUCCCUAUAUGCAUAUAGUAAAAAGUUAAAAAAAUUUCUUUUAAAGAACUCAAAGAGCUAUGGCUAAGAUAUUGAGCAUCAAACAUGUUCUAAUAGGUGUCUACCAAGUUUGUUCAAAUAAAAGCCCUAGGGUCAAAAUUGGCCCCGCCCAAGGGGGGUCAUUGAUUUUCCCUAUAUGCAUAUAGUAAAAACUUAAAAAAUCUUCUUUUAAAGAACCAAAAGAGUUAGAGCUAAGAUAUUUAGCAUGAAACAUGAUCUAAUAAGUGUCUACCAAGUUUGUUCAAAUAAAAGCCCUGGGGUCAAAAUUGGCACCGCCCCAGGGGUCAUUGAUUUUCCUUAUAUGUGUAUAGCAAAAACUUAAAAAAUCUUUUUUGAAAAACCCAAAUAGCUAGAGUUAAGAUAUUAAGCAUGAAACAUCUUUUAGUGAGUGUCUACAAAGUUUGUUCAAAUAAAAGACCUGGGGUCAAAAUUGGCCCCGUCCCGGGGGUCAUUGAUUUUCUUUAUAUGUGUAUAGCAAAGACUUAAAAUCUUCUUUGGAAAAACCCGAAUAGCUAGAGUUUAGAUAUUAAGCAUGAAACAUCUUCUAGUAAGUGUCUACAAAGUUUGUUCAAAUAAAAGCCCUGGGGUCAAAACUGGCCCGGCCCCAGGGGUGUCAUUGUUUUUAACUAUAUGUGUAUAGUAAAAACUUUAAAAAAAAUCUUCUUUUAAAAAGCCCAAUUAGCUAGAGCUUAGAUGUUUAGCAUAAAACAUCUUCUUAUGGGUGUCUACCAAGUUUGUGCAAAUAAAAGCCCUUGGGUUAAAUUGGCCCUGCAA